rnacentral:rRNA from 1 species
GAUCCGGUCCGAAAUCUGUAAAUACUGUCCUCUACAUCUCCUCCGCCUACUCCGGCCUCUCGUAUAACUACGCUCGCCCCCGAUAUACCUAUCACCCCUUCUUCGUUCAGUAUCCCCCUAUGCUCUAUCUGUUUCUCCUCGUCUCCUGCUCACUUGCCCCGCCUCUCUGCCUCUUCGCACGCACUCCUCGCCCUCCGCCACCGCGAUGUCCCCUGGCACACGACCCUACCGAAGAGAGCCGACUCACGCCGAAUAAGUUCAGACAAUGAGCAGUGGUAUUAGGACAGAUCAGAAGGAGUCACGAACCACAUGACGAUAAUGAAUUAAUUAAAUCAUAUAUAAUUUUAGCAAAUUUCUUUUUAGAACUCUCUCUAUAUUACCAAACAAAUAAUCAGAUAAUUAAAAAAUACUAGAUAUAAUCAAAAAUGAUGACUAAAGCUUCAUUCUAAUUUCAAGCAUUUCUUCCUCCUUUUUAAUAUUAUUUGCCGUCAUAAUACUAAUUUAAUAAAUCUACGCCGUAACCUCCAGAAGGACAANUCCAGACAGAGAUGCACACAUAUUAUAAUCCUAGGUACAAAGGGAAGCAAGACCUUCAGGUGGAGCCAAUCCCAGAAAACCGGGCCCAGUUCAGAUUGUCGUGUGCAACUCGACGGCAUGAAGUUGGAAUCGCUAGUAAUGGCGCAUCAGUUACGGCGCCGUGAAUACGUUCCCAGGCCUCGUACACACCGCCCGUCACAUCAUUGAAGCCGGUCGCACCCCAAGUGCCUGACCCAACCGCGCCGACAGCAGGGCCCUAACCUGUAGCUGGUAAUUGGGAUGAAGGGGUAACAAGUUCGG